GGUAUUUGGGGUUGUUUGGUCAUACUGCUCCGGUAGCGGCCCGUCCUGCGACGCCUAUGUCUGCGUGCAAGUUGAGAUAAGAGCUGUGCAUCGUAUACGGGGGACACAUUGCAAUUGAAUGUGCAGCAAUGAAACGGUGUCAGGCGUCUCCCUCCCUCUUCCAAGGUGCUGCAAUGUGCAGAGCAGUGGCGGCUUGCAGAAUGCUUCUUCUGUCGCGUGUGUUUGUAUUGCACUGUGGGACACUGGAUAAAGAGGAUUUCCACUUGGAUUUUAAUGUUUAAAUGCAUGACCUGCUUCUCUACGAACCACUGAAUUUGGCUGUGUUGUGUAGACUGAACAAUCUUUAUAACACUAGAAUAACUUAUUUUGGAUUUAUGGGAUGGUUUUCAAGUAAUCCUACAAUUUAAGCUUUAAGUUCUUUGUGCAAAAAAAAAUCCACAAGAUUGACGUCACAACAAAAUAUUGUUUUAAUGAAUUCACUUCAGUCAACGUUUUGAUCACAAAUCAAUACUGGUGUUAUAAACAACAACGACUAAAAGGAACGGGUGUUGAUCGAAGAGGUGAUGUAAGGCAUGCAGUCUGGUGGGCAGUGUGGACAGUCAAAGCUAUACGUGUUAUUUCACAGUAAAGGACACUCCAAUGCUCUGCAACAAACACAAAUACAAAACACGCUGGGAUCCCCUGUCUUCUCAGGAGGGGGUGCCCCCAAAACAUUUAUUGUUCCAUUAUGCAAGGACCUGGUGGUUAACACAUCUAAAAUGGAUGAGCGUGAAUUCAGCGACUAGAACAUAGACAUAAUUUGAGAAGCUUGGACAUGGAAGCAGAGGAUGUGUUAGUGGGCUAGCACGCAGUUGAGCUGCGCGUUGGACAUUAGACGAGGAUGGACCUGCAGCCGUGACCCUGUAUUCUGCCCCAUGCAGUGAGCCCUUUCUGGAACCACUUUGAGGUUCUCAGAUCACAAGACAAGACGCCCCCCCCGUGUUCAAUCUAGACCACCCUCUACUGAUCGCGUUAAAAGUAAAGAGAACCAAAUUGUUGUUCCUCUUUCAUAUCCGUGG
ensembl:lncRNA